AGUGAACGCUGGCGGUAGGCCUAACACAUGCAAGUCGAACGGCAGCACAGUAAGAGCUUGCUCUUACGGGUGGCGAGUGGCGGACGGGUGAGGAAUACAUCGGAAUCUACUUUUUCGUGGGGGAUAACGUAGGGAAACUUACGCUAAUACCGCAUACGACCUACGGGUGAAAGCAGGGGAUCUUCGGACCUUGCGCGAUUGAAUGAGCCGAUGUCGGAUUAGCUAGUUGGCGGGGUAAAGGCCCACCAAGGCGACGAUCCGUAGCUGGUCUGAGAGGAGGAUCAGCAACAUGGGAAGUGGGACAGGCUCGAGACGACUGAGGGACGCAGCAGUGGGGAAUGUGGGACAAGGGGCGGGAGCAUGACACAACCGUCGCGAGUGGGUGACAACGACCUUGCGGUUGUGAUGCCGUUUUGUUGGUAAAAAAAAGCUGCCGCCUAGUACCCCGCGGUUCUGACGGUACCCAAAGAAUAAGCACCGGCUAACUUCGUG
rnacentral:rRNA from 1 species